rnacentral:rRNA from 1 species
AUGUUCUCGUCUCACCUUCUCUUAUCACGAACUUGCUUUCUGUUCGUCAAAUUUGUCGCGAUAACCCUGUCUGUCGAGUUUGACAAGUUUGGUUUCUCUGUCAAGGAUCUUCGAACCAAGGAGGUGAUUCUCCGAUGUGACUCGGAUGGUGAUCUCUAUCCCGUUCGGCGUCCCUCGCCUGCUCCUCGCCAUGCUUUUGCCGGCCUCGCCGACUCCAACCUGUGGCACCAGCGUCUUGGACAUGCCUCGCUUCGUCCCAUCGCCGACCACUUCUCUGUUGGGUUCAGCAAGUUUGCGCCUCACUCGUGCCACGCUUGUCGUUUGGGCAAACAUGCCCGUCUACCUUUUAGCCGUUCUUCCAGCAUUAGCAUGUUUCCCUUUCAUGUUUUGCACCUUGAUGUAUGGACCUCUCCGGUUGUAAGCAUAUCUGGUUAUGAAUUCUACUUGGUUGUGCUAGAUGAUUAUACCCAUUAUGUGUGGACCUUCCCACUCAAGCGAAAAUCUGAUGUGCUCCCGGUCCUGCUAGACUUCUAUGCCUAUGUAAGACGCAGUUCCAACUCCCUGUUUUCUCCCUACAGACAGGUAAUGGGCGUGAGUUCGAUAGCGUUGCUGUUCGCUCUCUCCUAG